rnacentral:lncRNA from 1 species
UCAUCACACACCAUGGCAGUACACCCAAACAUGGGGACGAAUCCUAAGUAACAAACAUAAGAUCACAACUCAUAACAAUUUACUAUUAUGGUAUAUAUUCCAUAUAAGCUAAGCAAGCACAAAUAUAAGGUAACAUGUCCUUAACUGCAUUCAUAUUCAGAGAGCUCUCCCACUGUGUCAGGUACAAGAAGCUGCAUAAUGCUUAUGAUGAUGCAAAGAAAAUAGCAGCUGAAAAAUCUGGAGUCUGUCCUGUCUUCCUAUUUUUUUCUGUGAGUUUCCAUUAUGAUGUUUCAAUGAGUUUUGAUUCUGGUUUUUUCUUAUUUUUUAUAUGCAAGCCAAUUCCAUUAUGCUUGCCACACUGACAUUUCAUUUUAUUUUUUAUUUAAUGCAGGUUAAUGCAAGUGGUCAGUUCUGUGGGGUUGCUGAGAUGUCUGGUCCAGUUGAUUAUAACAAGGAUAUGAACUUUUGGCAGCAAGAUAAAUGGAGUGGGAGCUUCCCUGUAAAAUGGCACUUCAUUAAAGACAUUCAAAAUUCAAAUUUUAGGCACAUUAUAUUAGAGAACAACGAGCACAAGCCAGUGACUAAUAGUAGAGACACUCAAGAGGUAUACAUAUCAUUAUUAUUUCUGCCUAGCAACUCUUGUUAAAUUAAGAAUUGGCAGGAUUUCUCUUAACCUUUAACAUGAGUCUGUAAGUUUAUACUUGAGUAGUUUCCUUAAACUUGUUACAUGUGUUUGUGGUUUCAUUGUGGCUUUGUUUUGAUUCAUUAUAUUUUUCCUUUAUUACUUAGUUCAAACAUUGACUAUUAAAUGUCCCUUGCCUAUGCGCAGAUAAUGUAUCAGAAAGGUUUAGAAAUGCUGAAAAUAUUCAAAAACCAUACUUUGAAGACAUCUUUGCUAGAUGACUUUAUGUACUAUGAAAACCGUCAAAAGAUCAUGCAAGAUGAGAAAGCAAAGUUCAUGAUCAAGAGUUUUGAAAGUCCAUUUAUACCACCUUUGGAAGCUCCACGUAAGUUAAAUUUUGUUGUGAACACACCUGGGGUCAAUGAUGACAAGAAUUCAAAGCCUAAGGAGGAUGUUGGUAGCUUAAAGCAAACUUCAACUUCCAGUUUUGAGCAAAUUGUCAACACUUCUAAUGUCCCUAGCAUCAAGUCAGUUGAUGACAAGGUUGAGAAAGUUGAAGUUGACAAAGAAGAUAUUUCUUCUAUUUUAAAGAUUGGCUCAGUCACUAUUACCCCAAAACUAGUUGGAAAAAAGCAAUCCCUUGGUUCUAGUAAUAAAGAACCAACUGAUGUUGUUACAGUAGGGUCAAUGCAAGUCAAAGUUAAAGGAUUUGCAGAAUCUUCUGGUAUCUUGAAGGUUGGCAGUAUCCCACUUGAUACUAGAUCAUUGCAACCAAGGAAAGGAGAUGGUGCUAUUAAAAAUGGAUCUCAACGUUAAAUUUUGCAUCUGCAUUUUGAAGGCACUGUUUGGUUCUUGUUUUAUUUUUGGUGAAGUUGGAUUAAUAUCUCUACCCAAUUGUAUAAAACAAUUGGGAAUUUGAGUUUCUCUUCCAUCUUUUCUCACUGCUCUUUUGGAUUUUCUUGAGACUGAAGUGAUGCCAUUGGUCUUGGAAAGGUGUUAGUGCUGACUCAAAAGUUUCAUGAAAGUAUAACCUCUUUUUUGCUUUGAGAAAAAUGCUUAAACUUUCGUCCAACUCCAUUUUCUGUGAUUCGGCUAUAUUAACAAUAUUUCAUGUCCGUUCUAUUGUCUUUGAAAGUAUUUCAUUUGGUUUUAAAGAUGAGGAACUGUAAUAAUUACUGAAUUAGAGCUUCAUUUUAAGAACAUAUAAUAUCUUUGUUUGGUUAUCUUGUCUCUUUUAUAGCUUGAAUGACUCUGUUUUCCAUCUUUCUACCUUGCUGUGUUUUAAUCUAUAGGAAUGAAAUUAUUAGGUGGUCUUUAGGAUGCAUCACACUGCCAUCCAAUAUUAUUAGGUGAUGUAUAAUGGCAUUCAACUUGGAAUAUGAUGUGUGUGGAGCUAUUUUCUCUAUGACACCAACAUCAUGACUCAAUUUUAGUCUCACUUCAAAUAAAUCCUAGCUGUUAGUUGCUAAGGUCGGCUACAUUUGUCUUAAAUAAUGUUAAUGUACAACAAUUGGUUUAAUUCUAAGAGAGAAAGUCUCAUCAAGAAGUUUUGCUUAUGUUUUUUUCUUGGUGUCCCUCUAAAAAUAUUAGAUUAACAUUCAUUUGAUAUAAUCUUCUUAAUCAUGCUUCUAACGUUCUCUCCAUAUAAUCAAACCACAUAAGAUAUAAUUCUACCUUAUUUUCUAUAAUAGGAAUUAACCCAACUUUUUCAUACUUAUUACAAUGUAGGUCCCUAAAAAAUAGACCAAAUUCCUAUAUAUCAUGUCUACUCAUCACACACCAUGGCAGUACACCCAAACAUGGGGACGAAUCCUAAGUAACAAACAUAAGAUCACAACUCAUAACAAUUUACUAUUAUGGUAUAUAUUCCAUAUAAGCUAAGCAAGCACAAAUAUAAGGUAACAUGUCCUUAACUGCAUUCAUAUUCAGAGAGCUCUCCCACUGUGUCAGGUAAACCUUCUCUUAAGCAAUCAAGUGGAGGUAUAGUCACAGUUUCUUGAGUUCCAUAAGCAUUCCAACAAAAAGGGUCAUCAAGUAAUUCUCCUUCAU